AGGCUACUUCACAGCAUAGCUAAAACUGCUCUAUCUGCUACUGCUGUCCUGCUCCCGCUCGUCCAUAACUACAAACAAAUCCUCUGAAGUCAUGGAGUCUGUGGACAGUGAUGGAGUGUCAGCUUUACCCGCCAAAAACUACACAGUGUGGAUUAUUGGUGACAGCUGUGUCCGUCGAGGUGCCCAGAGAGCUGCAGAGACAGAGGAAGGAACCUGGGCCUGAAAAACGUCCACAUGAGUUGGUUCGGCUGGGGUGGACUUCGCUGGAAAGGCCUCCUUCCCUUCUUUGAAAACUCCCUGCGAGGGAGGUCUCCCCCGGAUGGCCUCAUCAUUCAUUGUGGGGGCAACAGCAUGGGACAUGUCAGUGGUGUCGUGCUGGUCAAUAUGAUGAAGGAGGACCUUCACCCAGAGGUGCCGAUGG